rfam:Oryza barthii chromosome 4, whole genome shotgun sequence.
AAAAAGACAAACCCUGGGUUUCCGUGUUAACGUUUGACCGUUCGUCUUAUAUGAUUUUUUUUAUAAUUAGUAUUUUCAUUGUUGUUAGAUGAUAAAACAUGAUUAAUACUUUAUGCGUGACUUGUCUUUUUAAUUUUUUUUAUAAUUUUUUCAAAUAUGACGGACGAUCAAAUGUUGGACACGGAAACCCAGGGUUUGUCUUUUU